CCACGAUAAUGCAAUCUCUACCGGGGUAUCUCCAAGUCAGUACACGGUAAAGUUUGUAGGUGUUCACUACGGUUCUGGGACAACUCGACCCAUGGGAACGACACCCACAGAACGGAGAAACAACCACGAAGAGGAAUUAUGUUGAUCGAGCGUCGAGUGAACAGUGCAACAGGAAAUGCCCCCAUCUAGUGACGUAAUAAUAAAGCAGUGGUUAAAGUGAUCACGUGAAUCUGGAACAAACUAUUGUUUUGUUUUACGACACGUUGUGGCUUUAUAGUUUCACGUAUGUUUUCUGCGCGUUUCAAGUUGCAAUUGACCCAUAUAUUGUGGUUUUCACUAUUCGUUCUUAAUAAAUUUCAAUACACCUACGCUGCCACCACGCGAUUUUCGGAAAAUAUUGACAUACUUACGCUCCUUCUAAUUUCACCUGAAAACGUUGUUUUUAAAAAUUAUUUAUGCCUGUUUUUGGCGCAAAUGUCAUGAUUUUAACAUUUACAGUAACGACACAUAAACCAUUAAUUACUCAUUCAGAGCGCUGUUAAAAAGUGCGGGGCUCACAAACAUUUGUAGUUCUAAAUAGGACAUGGUUUACAUUUUUAAAUUUUCAAAAUUAAAAAAUUAAUAAGACAACGCCGCAUUUCCAUAUCAAAUUAUUGUUGACAAAGUCAACGGAAACUACAUAUGAGAAAGCAAACUGUUGUAAAUAACCAUAAAUACGAACUAAACCACGAAACAUUUGUUCUUAACAAAGGCCAGCCACAAACGUAAAUAACUUAAUAGAAAACAGUUUUGAUACGUUGUGUGCUAGACGUUUUUCAUUUUUUUCCUUGGAUAAAUUCUCCGGAAAAUAAUCAAUACUUUUUUCAUCUAAUUUCGACCGCCAUUUUGCUCUGAUAACAAUGCACGUGUUUCCUCAUUUUAAUAUGAAACAAUAGUAAUAAAACAUUUUAACUUUGCAUUGAUUAUGACGUUCAGAGAUUCGUUAAGAUUUGUUAAGCUUAUCCAUGCGCAGUAUUAUUUUAAAGCAUAAAUAAUAAUAAUAAACAAAACACAAAUAUAGUGACUCAUAAUUAAGUAUUCAAAUACUGCAAAAUCGUUUGUUUUAAUUAUUAUUACUAUAUUUUACGUACCACAUCGCAAGUGUUUGGCCCGCCUUGGUUAAAAUUAUUCACCGUCAAAUUAAAAAACUAUGGUGACUAACAUUUUUAACGCACCUACCUAAAACUUAUGAUCAAUUUUACGCAUUUUAAGGUGAAGUCUUUUAAAAAUAAAAUAAAUCUGCAAAUAAUCUACCGAAAAGUUGUAUAUUUUUUAACACAAAAUGAAAAUCUGAUGCUAUCUGUUCCGACAGAUCUGCAGUUUUUUACUUCUUGUGUUUUUCAGUUUUUAUUUUUAGUGAAUAUGUUUUCAUAUAUAUUAAAGAAACUCCUAAAGCUACAUUUUGUGUUGCACAUGAUUGUAUUUAAUUUAAAAACAGAAAUAACAAAUUUGGGAACUACAAAGCGAUUAAUUGCAACGUUGUUAAAGUAAAAAUUCUUAGAUACAAAACAUUUUAGGUUACUUAAAAAUCGAAAAAUUUUUAUUGAAAAUUUUGAAUGCAAGAAAUUUAAUACCAUUUUUAUAAAAUUAAGUAGUAUCAAUCGAAUUUUCUCAACAUACAAUAAAGUUUCCUCGUCUGUCGCUUUAUUAAUAUUAAUGUAUUAGGUAUGCGUAAUUAUGAAAAAACACCUUGACUAACCGCACAGGUAAAAUGCUAUAAAUGUCAUGUUAUGCACAAUAUUUUUCAUGUGCUUGUACUAGUUUUUCAUACUUUUACAUAGUACUCAUCCAGUUAUUGAAAUAUUGCAGCGAUAUUUUAAUGCUUGGCAUUAUUAGUAGGUAUUCGUAAAAUUAUAUCACAGAAUAAAAUACUACUUGAAAGUCAUCGAACUUCUGGAAUUAAAACAGUUUAACCACAAAUAAAUCUUACAAUCAGAAUGCAAAUAAUUUAUUAUUUUAUUUUACCACACUGGUACUGUAAAGAAGUAUUUUCCCCCUAAAAACUAUCUAUUCAGUGACAAACGGUUUUUAAGAAUGGGCAUAGAACGAAUUAAUUAAUAAACAGGUCUUGGAAAAGCAGUGAGAAUUUUAUUUAAGCGAAGUAAAAAAAACUAUAGUGACUGAAUAAAAAAUAAAAUAAGCGGCAUCAAGGGUGUCCAGAAAAUACAACUUUUAGCAUGACACAGUAAAGACAUUCGUUCCGUUCUUAAAGCAAUACUUUAUAAAUCGUUUAACGUGUUAUAAAUUAUUUAUUUAUUUAAGAAAUAACUUUCGUUAGAAUGACAAUGAAACUCGCUAGUGAUAAGAGGAAAAUAUCGUUUUCGUAGUUAAUUGUAAAGUUGUUAAUUUCAAUGAAAAAUGUAUUUUGUUGAAGGCACCCUAAUCGCACUGUUGGGAUUUAGAAACGAAUUAAUAACAGAUUUUUAUUUUCCGUUAUUAAAUUUCACACGUAGAUAGUCUCACCGGAUCUCUCACACAGAUGAAGUUUUGUCUAAGAAUUGCACCUGAGGAAGACGGAAACGAUCUUCAAAUCGUCGGCAAUAUCUAUAGAAUAAUGGUUGCAAGUACGAAAUGCAUCAUAUACUUAUGCCUUCUUCCUCUGUCUAUGUGUGAGGACGCGUGUACCUAUCGAAGCAAUUGUAUACUUUAAAAUUUUCCGUCCGAAGAUUAUUGUGACAACGAUAAAAUAAUAACCAAAAAUUUAUAGAUUAAUCUCUUUCAAAAGAAUGAAUAGUGUAAUUUUUUAAUCCACUCUAAUUUGAAUUUUGUGUUGUAAAAAAAAAUCACAACCAAUUUCCUAAAGUUUUAUUCAACUAAUGUUGACUUAAGAAAUAUUAGUCAAAAUUUAUUUGUUAAUUCUUUGGGAAAGAAAAAUACGCUCCGAAAUAUGGCAUUAUUUCUCCGUCAAUAAUGUUCUUUUUUAAGAAUUUACAAAGAAUAUCAGUAAAAAUAAUAUACCUGAACUAAUUUAUGUUAUCCAUCCUUUCAAACACGGCUCAACUAAUUUAUGUAAAAUUUUGGGAACAUAUUACUUUUGUAUUGGAUAGUACCUACACGUUGUUACAUACAACACAAUCAAAAAUAAAAUAUGUAUCCGCACCAACCAAAAAAUGUUGCAAACGUGAUAUCUUCCUGAUUGCAAUAAGUUAUUCUGCGAAACUUAUUUCAGUUGCAUAUUCGUGAAUGCCACACAGAAACGGUGACAUUUCGUAUACUGCAAUACUGCAAAGCCAAGGGAAGUCCCGAUUUUCACACAUGUGUGACUACUUUCAAAGGAACAUGUUAAAAGUUUGUUAGACAACCAUGUAAACUUUGUAUUAUUAUUAUUUUUUAUAAAUAUAUACAUGUCUUCUGUUCAAAUGUUGGUAUUUAGUUCUAUAAACUUUAACAAAUAAACAUGGUUUUCAUAUCAAUAAUUGUUUUCAAAACCUAGAUUUUAUUUUCAACACUUGUAACUCUUGUCAGGGCUGUUGUGUCCUAGUGAACGCCCUACAUAAAAAAUAAGUAGGUAUAUACCUACUAGAGCGAGAACACAAAGAUCCUUUUUCAAAUUUUAUUUCCUCCAAAAUCCAACAGUAUUAAUCAGCCAUUAAUCACAAUUUGACUAAUGAAUCAGUAUUUCUACAGCCAAAACACUUCUAAAUUCAUGCCAGUAAUGAAGCACAGAAAAAAUGUUUAUUGAAAAAAAUCGAUAUGUGCUUGGUAAUAAACUGUUAGAACAAAGUCUGAGUGUAGAGGUUAAAAGGUCAACUCAUCGGCAAUACUAAUUAAAACUCUAGAAAUUCGUUUAUGAUUUCUCUUUCUUUAUUCCUCUGUUUGUUAUGUAAACAUCUUAUCACACCAUCGUUUAAAAAUAG